UACGUAGGUGGCAAGCGUUAUCCGGAAUUAUUGGGUGUAAAGCGCGCGUAGGCGGUUUUUUAAGUCUGAUGUGAAAGCCCACGGCUCAACCGUGGAGGGUCAUUGGAAACUGGAAAACUUGAGUGCAGAAGAGGAAAGUGGAAUUCCAUGUGUAGCGGUGAAAUGCGCAGAGAUAUGGAGGAACACCAGUGGCGAAGGCGACUUUCUGGUCUGUAACUGACGCUGAUGUGCGAAAGCGUGGGGAUCAAACAG
rnacentral:rRNA from 1 species